AAGAUGGUUUGUCUACUGCAGGGUCAAGGCUUUGGGGGUGGUCCUCUGAUAUGGGGUCUCAGAGAAUUAGAUUGUCUCACCAAAGGGGCCUGUGGGACUAUAGGCCCAGAGUGACUCAGUCCUUACUGUUUUCCAGAAAAACCUGGUCUGGAUUUUAAUGAAACUUCGAUGGCAUUUAAUGCAUAUGAAACAGUGUGUUAUGUGGGGCUCAACAAAAUUGAUGAGUGGCCAGAUCUGGCCUCUGGGUCACCAGUUGGCAGUUGCUUGUCUGGAGGGACUAGAGGUUAAGGACCCGAGUAUUAUGUUUCUUUUCUUCCCUAAUUUUUAUUUUUUUAAAUUUUUUUUUGUCUUUUUCCCUUUUCUAGGGCCGCUUCCUGUGGCAUAUGGAGGUUCCCAGGCUAGGGUUUGAAUCGGAGCUGUAGCCACUGGCCUACACCACAGCCAUAGCAAUGUGGGAUCCAAGCCACAUCUGCGACCUACACCACAGCUCACAGCAAUGCCAGAUCCUUAAUCCACUGAGCAAGGCCAGGGAUCAAACCCACAACCUCAUGGUUCCUAGUCGGAUUCGUUAACCACUGAGCCACAAUGGGAACUCCGAUUUUAUAGAAUUAACCAUUGUCAUUCCUCUAAUUGGUUUAGCUGUCCAAGUGCUGUACCAACCCCCUGGCUUGUUUCUCACCUCCUGGCGAUGAUCAUUUCUAUUUUAUAAAGAGGGAAAAAUGACUUGUCAAGUUCCCGGUCUGCCAAGUGGCCAAGGUUUGACUUGGGUCCAGGCCCAGGACUUCUGAGUAUGGAUCCCAUGUGCUUCCGAUGACAGCAUCUAGGCUGCCUUUUCACCAGGGAAUAAUUAGUGUUGAUUAAACAUCUUUGGUGCUUAAUAUGCUGCUGGGCUCAGAGCUUUGCAUACAUUUUCUCAGUGCAUUCUUGCAGCAACUCUGAGAGGUGAUGUUGUUGGUUCCUGAUUUAAUGACAAGGAAGUCAGACCUCAGAAGAGGUCAUCAAGCCAGUAAAUGACUGAGCUGUGACUUCAGAAACCCAGGUUUCUGAUUCCAAAGCAGCUAUAAAUCCCUGCUUCAGGUGGCAUCUCUUCCAUGAGAAACCUGUUGAGUCAUGAGAGAUGCCUUCAUAAAAUCCUGGAGGCCAAGUGGGGGAUGUUGCUCUCGUCCAAUGGCUCUUACCAGGUAUGGUUUUUACCCCCAGGGACAUUUGGCAAAUUCUGGAGACAUUUUAUUUUAUUUUACUUUUAUUAGAGUAUAGUUGAUUUACAGUGUUCUGUCAAUUUAUGCUGUAUAGCAAUGUGACCCAGUCAUACAUAUAUAUCUGUUCUUUUUCUCAUAUUAUUUUCUAUCAUGAUCUAUCCCAAGAGAUUGGAUAUAGUUCCCUGUGCUAUCCAAUAGGACCUCAUUGCUCAUCUAUUCUAAAUGUAGUAGUGUCCACCUACCAACCCCAAAGUCUCAGUCCAUCCCUCUCCCUCCCUCCCUCCCCCUUGACAACCACAAGUCUGUUGUCUAUGUCCGUGGGUCUGUUUCUGUUCUGUAGAUAGGUUCAUUUGUGCCCUAUUUUAGAAAUGAUAUCAAAUUGUAUUUGUCUUUCUCUUUCUGACUUACUUCACCUAGUAGGAGAAUCUCUGGUUCCAUCCAUGUUGCUGCAAAUGGCAUUAGGUCGUUCUUUUUUAUGGCUGAGUAGUAUUCCAUUGUGUAUGUGUACUAUAUCAUCUUAAUCCAGUCAUCUGUCGAUGGACAUUUAGGUUGUUUCCAUCCCUUGGCUAUUUUAAAUAGUGCUGCAAUGAAUUGGAGGCAUUUUUUUGAUUGCGGUGACUUGAUUGGGGGAGGGGUGCUCCUGGCAUCUGUGUAGAUUGAGGGCUGGGAGGCUGCUGGACAUCCCAGGAUGCCCUGGGAAGCCUUGCCACCCAGACUUAUUGGGUCCCAAUUGCAGAGACAGCCAAGGCUGAGAAACCUUGUCCCAUCCUUCCAGAGUCUGACGUGCAAGUUAUCAAUACCAAAGCCCUACAUUGUGGGCCUACAGGCCAUAGACGUGUUUUCUUUGGCUUAGUCACUAUGUAUGUAUGUAUGUAUGUAUUAAUUAUCCCUGGUUUUCACAUGAAAACCUGGAUUGCCAGUCUCUUCUAAAACCGUAGAAGACCUGGCCACAUCUGGCGUGGAGUACAGGCAGCUGGAGCUGAGCAGUAGCUGUUCCAUGGGGGCAGGGGGCAUCAGCUGCCCACUUUGCCCCUAACCCCUCCCUGGCUUCUUUUAUUCUGUUACAUCCUUUGCUGACCCUCCCUGAAGGUCACAGAUCUCCAAUGACCUUCUCCCAUUCCAGCACUCACUCUCAAGGUGAGUCAAACACCUCUCUCCCCGCCCAUCCCAUAGCAUCCUCUGGUGCCCUCUUGCCUCUCAUCCAUGAGACGGCCCUUCCUAGGUUCGACAUGGCUCUCUGCAUCCCUCACCUGCUCUGCGGCUUCAUCUUGCUCCCUCCGAUUUCCUCCACACAGUCAUUCUGAGAAAGGGGAGGUAGCUGUGCUUUUCUUCGCUCUGAGUGGAUUCCAUCCAGCCUCUGCACAGAGCAAGGGUGGAAAGGAAUCUGGAAUCGUCACAGUUGCUUGUGAAUCUGAUUUUCCGUGGCCUUGUUAGGCACUUUACAUGUUGUGAAAUCCAAGGUAUUUAGGUCAGUGAAAACCCAUUGUUC
rnacentral:lncRNA from 1 species